GUCUACGGCCAUGCCACCCUGAACGUGCCCAAUCUCUCCUGAUCUCAGAAGCUAAGUAGGGUCAGGCCUGGUUAGUACUUGGAUGGGAGACCACCUAGGAAUACCAGAUGCUGUAGGCA
rnacentral:rRNA from 1 species